rnacentral:lncRNA from 1 species
UUGUGCUGAGUCUUUUGUUACUUUAAUUAAUGCCCAGCUUCCUGACGCUUAAUUAAACUGGAAUUGCUCCAUGUCCAAUAGCCAAGCAUCCCAUUAGAUACAAGUUAAUGCAACUGUCGCAGGAAGAUGUUCCCUGAUUAGUCUGCUGAAUUAUGAAUUAGGUUCCGGGUCCCUAUGCAGCUGUUCCCGGCUUGUCAUCCCCACCACUUUAUUUCCCCAUCUGUUUAUAAAACCAGGAGCGCCGUCCUGCAAUAAACACUUCAA